GUAGUACUCCCUUUGUUCGGAAUUACUUGUCACAAAAAUGGAUGUAUCUACAACUAAAAUACAUCUAGAUACAUUCAUUUCUUGGACGAGUAAUUCUGAGCGGAGGGAGUAUGUA
rnacentral:pre_miRNA from 1 species